AUUAUAGCAAAGAGGAUACACCUGUUCCCAUUCCGAACACAGAAGUUAAGCUCUUAAGCGGCGAUGGUACUUGGGGGGCGACCCCCUGGGAGAGUAGC
rnacentral:rRNA from 1 species